CCUACGGGUGGCAGCAGUGAGGAAUAUUGGUCAAUGGGCGCGAGCCUGAACCAGCCAAGUCGCGUGAGGGAAGACGGUCCUAUGGAUUGUAAACUUCUUUUUUCGGGGCGCAAAAGACGCCACGCGUGGCGUUCCGAGCGUCCCCGAAGAAAAAGCAUCGGCUAACUCCGUGCCAGCAGCCGCGGUAAUACGGAGGAUUCGAGCGUUAUCCGGAUUUAUUGGGUUUAAAGGGUGCGAAGGCGGAAGACCAAGUGAGCGGUAAAAUUGAGAGGCUCAACCUCUUCGAGCCGUUGAAACUGGUUGUCUUGAGUGAGCGAGCAGUAUGCGGAAAGCGUGGGGUAGCGGGGGAAUGCA
rnacentral:rRNA from 1 species